rnacentral:rRNA from 1 species
UGGCGGCUNUAGCGCGGUGGUCCCACCUGACCCCAUGCCGAACUCAGAAGUGAAACGCCGUAGCGCCGAUGGUAGUGUGGGGUCUCCCCAUGCGAGAGUAGGGAACUGCCAGGCA